rnacentral:tRNA from 1 species
GGCCGGUUGGCCCAAUGGCAAGGCGUCUGACUACGAUUUGAUCGCGAUAUCAGGAGAUUCUGGGUUCGACCCCCAGGCUGGUCA